rnacentral:lncRNA from 1 species
CACAACAUAACACUUCCAUAAUUCAACAGAGUUACAAACAGAGGUCUACGGCCAAAAGUCUACAAAAGACCGGCUCUUAAAAAUGAAUUGUCCUACGACCUACAAGUUGGAUACGUUCUCCAAUCUUAUGACUUCACAUCUGCAACUCUUCAAGGCCAACCAAAGCUAUUUGGCCGCUCCGUCCACCAGAGACCUGAAAUGGUUAUUCAAUAACUACUGAGACAACGUCUCAGCAAGUUCAACCCCCUAAACCCCUAUUAGAAAGAAAAUACGCCCAAGGGUGGCCUAGCCACACAACAUAGAGGACUUACCUUGCCUCGGUUCCUUUCUGCAGGUUAGCAUAGUUCAUAUCAUUCAAUCAUAUGCAGUAAUAAGAACUUAAACAACCGGAACGCAUUCACGUUCAUAUAACCAACAACCGCGGGGGUCCUGAUUAUAAGACUAAAUCGUUAUGACACGUCCCAUUCCAUGCCACAAAAUUCCGUCCCAUAAUCCGACACAUUAACAACACUCAACAUGCAUUCUAAUUGAUAUUCACUGCCACACAAGGGCAUAGCCUACUCGCAGUUCAGCUAUCUACUGGCAUAUAACCAGGCAUCGCCUCCCCCCAUGGAGCGCGGCUUCGUCAGUACGUCGACGGCAUUCCCGAAGGAGCAUCGUCUCCCCCCCCCUUGGAGCAUGGCUUCGUCACUAUGUCGACGGCAUUCCCGAAGGAGCAUGGGUCCAGUCGGCCUAGCCACUACUACGACCCGAGCCACGUCACUCUCCCUUGACGGCAUUUCUAGAAGAACAAAGGUCCAGUCGGCCUAGCCACUACUGCGACCCGAGCCACGUCACUCUCCCUUGACGGCAUUUCUAGAAGAAUAAAGGAUCCAGUCGGCCUAGCCACUACUACGACCCGAGCCACGUCACUCUCCCUUGACGGCAUUUCUAGAAGAACAAAGGAUCCAGUCGGCCUAGCCACUACUACGACCCGAGCCACGUCACUCUCCCUUGACGGCAUUUCUAGAAGAACAAAGGAUCCAGUCGGCCUAGCCACUACUGCGACCCGAGUCUUUCAACCAGCACACAACGAUUCAAUAAUUAAUUGCACAAAUCAUCACUCAAUUUGUAAUAUCUAAUCAUCAAAUUCAUAAUCCGAAUACAUAGCAGCGAUCAGCACAAAAUUCUGAGAAUUUAAGGCCCCAACUUAAUUUUCGGAAUUUAUUUAAUAAUUAAAUUUAUUUCGAAAAUUAAUUAAAUAAUAAUAUCCCUAUCUUUCACAAUCCACACUCGAUUUAUAAUAUCCAAUCAUCAAUUUCAAAAUCUGACUACACAGCAACGACCGGUACGAAAUUCUGAGAAUUUAGGGUCUUGACAAAAUUUUCGGAAUUUAAUAAAUAAUUAAAUUUAUUCCGAAAAUAAUUAAAUAAUAAUAUUUUAUUAAUUUCGAAUAAAAUAUAGUAUUAAAUUAUUUAAUAAUUUCGAGACAUUUAAAUAAAUCAAAAGUAAAUUCAUUUAUGUCAAAUCAAGGCUUAUUUUAAAUAAACCUACUUACCCUUAAUUAAGCACACUUUAAAUUAAACCACCACCUUAAUCAAAUCUACUCUUAAUUAACCUAAACUAACAACCUAAUAAUACUUAACAUAAACUAAACCUUCCUAAGCAUAAUUAACCCUCUAAGCGAGGUUUAGUGAGCUAAACUCACCGGAUUAGCGAGCCGAGCGGACCAAAACAACGGGGACGCCGAGGAGAACAACUUUCCUCAAAGCGGGCCGAGCAUCCGGGCUCGGGAAGGCGGCCAAAACGGGCCAAACAUGGGCUGCCAUACCCAUUUUCUGGGUUGCUGAUCGGGGCUGAGAGGGAGCAGAUCCGGCGCCGGUUGAGGCGGCCAAGGGCGGCGGAGGCAAGACGAAGCUCCGGCGGGCUAAGGCGAGGGCGCACGGUGGCCGGAGGCGGCUGAGC